rfam:Anas platyrhynchos breed Pekin duck contig136980, whole genome shotgun sequence.
GGUCGAUGAUGACUAGUAAAAGGUCUGAUGGCACAGGGGAGUUACACCCCAUUACCAUCUUGGCUCCCAGCACUCCUUGUUCUGUCAUGCCAUAGUCGAGCUAUGACUGAGGAAGAGGAGUGCUGACAGUUUGGGAUUAAUUCAGUUCCAGUUCUCCACAGUGAAGGGGUUGUGGCACUGAAUGUCAUCCAACAGACGUGGUUAAGAGGAGCUUGUGGUAGUGGGGUGUCUUCAUUGGUUGUGUGUGAUCUAAAGUUUUCAAGCUGAGACC